CCUGUACAUUGGGAAAGGUGCCGAGACAUGAACUUUGGUCUUCUCUGCAAUCCAUCUGGAGCAUUCACUGACAACAUCGACUUUGAAGUUGCACUGACCUGGCCAGCCCUGCCACUUACCAGGUUGGGCUGUGGCUUGCCUUUUCACUUCUUGUGUCCUGUUUAAGAAAUAUCUGCUAUCCCAAGAUUGCAAACUCCUAGAGAAGGGCUCAACAGUGAGUGCUGAGGCUGCACAGAGGAGGAAGGCAGCACAAUGAUGGAAGGCUUCCUAAAGAGGCUCUUGAGUUUCUGCUUUCAAGUGACCCUCAGAAAUUCCUCCAUUCACUGCAGAGGUUCUGUUUCUCCUUGCUUUGUUCUGACUUUACGGCAGAACUAAGCUAAUGAGUUAGUUACUAUGGGUUAUCACUUGGAUUUGAAGAACCAUCAUUUCUAGGCAUUGCUGCUCAGAGUGGGUCUGCCCUCAGGGGAAGCUGUCUAACCAGAGCCUAACCCACUAGGGUUUUAUCAGAACCUAACUGACCUGAGGAAAAGAAAUACUCAACUCCAGCAAGCUCCAGCCUUCCAAAUGGAGGAGGAGAAAACCCAACUCCAGCCCACUUCAGCUAUCUUGUCCCACAUAAAGGGGAAGUGGAAGAAACCUGAGAAGCAGGCAUGAAGUUCACAGUCCAGAGGUACAGACACAUCAGAGUUCAGUAUCUGAUGAAUUAGAUGCAAAAACCUCAACAAAGUAUUAGCAAAUUGAAUUCAACAAUGUAUGAAAAUUAUUACAUGCCAUGACUAAUUGGAAUUUAUCUCAGGUAUACAAGCCACGCUGAACAUCUGAAAAUCAAUUCAUGUGAUCCAUCACAUUAGCAGACUCAAGAAAAAAAACCACAUUAUCAUAUCAGUAGAUGUAGAAAAAAAAAAUUAACAAAAUCCAGCACCCAUUCACAAUGAAAAUGCCCAGUAAAUUAGAAAUAGAAGGUAACUUCCUCAAAUUGAUAAGGAAUAUCUCUAAAAACCUACAACUAAAAUCAUACUUAAUGGUAGAAAACUAGAAGCCUUCCCAGUAAGAGUAAGAACAAGUCAAAGAUGUAUGCUCUCACCAAUGCUUUUCAACAUCAUAUUGGAAGUCCUAGCUAGUGCAAUAAGCAAAAAAAAAAAAAAA
rnacentral:lncRNA from 1 species